ACGAACGCUGGCGGCGUGCUUAACACAUGCAAGUCGAGCGGUAAGGCCCUUUCGGGGGUACACGAGCGGCGAACGGGUGAGUAACACGUGGGUGACCUGCCUUCAGCUCUGGGAUAAGCCUGGGAAACUGGGUCUAAUACCGGAUAUGACUCCAUGAUGCAUGUUGUGGGGUGAAAGCUUUUGCGGCUGGAGAUGGGCCCGCGGCCUAUCAG
rnacentral:rRNA from 1 species